ensembl:lncRNA
GGGGCCGUGACGAAUGGCUCAGAAAAGAGGGUGCUGUGAGAAACUGGAGCUGCGCUGGCGGAGUGGGUGGUGAGGACUUGGUGCGAGGGGCGAGGGGGGUCUGGGGGCUCCACGCAGAGCGGGGCGGGGGGCGGUGGGGGCCAGAGGCCGUGCGGGGCCUCUCUGUGCCUCGGGGAAGCUGAGGGUGGCGGUGCUGGCGUAGGGGUGCCCUGUACCCCCCACCCAUGGGGACACGGCCCUCCCUGCUCAUCCUGCACCUCCCUUGCUGGCUCUGUGUGGCCACCGGGAAAGGGCUGCCCUUCUGUGUCACCUCAUGAAUGCAUUGAGACACGGCCCCAGGCGGGGAUGGUGGAGGUGCUUGGGAAGGUGCAAGAGUGAAGUUAUGGUGGUUUGGUAGAGGGUUCCUUGUCCAAGGCUUGUAAGAGUGCUGAUGAGCUCCUGUGCCGGGUUGGUGUGGUCUGUGCCGAUGUCUCCAAUGGCUGCUGCAGCCCCUGAUGCAUGAAUGCAUCUACUCCCGCAGAGGGACCAAGGAACCAGCACGGAGUCCAGGGCUGGUGGCACCAUGGUGCAGAGGGAGCUGUGUGCCGUGUGCUGGAACCACUGUGCUGCUCACCCUUGGGAAGACCAAGACACACCUAAGGCAGUCAGAGCGAGGGCUGCACGUGGGAUGGCUCUGCUCACUGUGGCAUCCCACUCCUGCUCUUGGUGCUGUGGGGUCCAUUGCCGGGGUGCUCAGGGCCUGCAGGAGGACAUGAGGAGCAUCCCUGGUGUGAAUCCUGCACCGUGCCCACCCAACGCCAGGGCAGCUCCACCAGCAGCUCUUCGCUGCCCCUUUCUCCCACCCUGCUCCCUAAGCCCCAGCUCUCCAUCCUCAGCCCCAGGGAUGGAUCCUGCUGUCCUGCUGCCCACAGCAGGGCCCAGCCAGCAGCCUGCAGGGGACGGGCCUGGCAGGCUCCAGCAGCAGGAGGGCUCAUGCAUUACAAUCCAGUACAAUCUGUCCCCCUUCCCGCUGCCCAGCGGUAGGGGAGACGGUUACUGUUUAAUCCCAUUUGACAGCUCUUUCAUCAUCUGCCUGCCUCCCUCCAGCUUCCCCGUGGUUCCUCCAAGGCUCCUUUGUGGCCAUAAUCAAAGCCUGAUCAGUCUUCAUGGCUGCAUGGUGCUUGCUGAGCCUGUGGGAUCUGAUUGAAGCCGUGGUUUCCCAAAAGCUUGCCCUGAGGCAGCCUGCGGACAGGAGAUAGCAGAAAGGAUUUCAAACACAUGGCUGGAGGACUGGCACACAGCGUACGCUGGGUGGGAAGGACGCCAUUAACCCUCUGCUUGCCGCUGCCCUCCGUGGGCCAUCCCCGUUCCCCCAGCUGCAUGCGGGGAUACCCACAGAGGAGCAGAGGCUGUGCAUCCCCCUGGCUCCCCCUUCAGAUGACAUCUGCCCCAGCUUGGACAGUGCUGGGAGAUGCAGUCCUGCAGCUGCCAGCACAAGAUUGGCUCUGGGAAGGCAACGGCUGCAGUUCUAAGCUCUGUGAAUGCCCAGCAGUUCUUGCAACCCUGGGUAUCUGCAGGGUUCCCAGCCCCACAGGAGAGGCCGGGGUGGCUGGAUAACACUGAAGUGGGCUGUCAGCCUUUCAGAGGACACGUUUCAUGCUAUUCCUACUGACUUCAGACAGUGUUCUCUUCCUAACUGGCUGAUCACAUCACUGCUGUGUGCCACCUCUGCAUGUCCAGCUCCUGGCCUUUCUGCAGCACCGCAAUCUGCAGUGGGCAGAAGUCCCAGGGGCAGGUGAGGGCAGGGCACAUCACAGGGCAGAUGUGGGGUGAGCGGCAGGGCGUUGGGCGGGAGAGCAGAGCUGUGUCAUCCCAAGAGCCUGUGCCUGGUGUCAGCAGGAAGCGUCACAAAAAGCACAUUCAAUUCAGUGCCUGCUAUGGAGCUAACAGCCCCGUGUCACGAACAGCCUGUCCUCAAGCUGUGGGUCGCUGCAGUGCAAUGCUCACCCCUUGAAGGGGCUGCACUCUGGCUGGCCGGGCAAAUCUGCUGCGGGCACCCCUCGCUGCUGUGGACAUUCCUCGCUGCUGCCCUGUCUCUGGGGGAACCCAUGGGAGGCCCUGGCCCCGCAGCCUCAGAGCUGGUGGCUGUGUGUCCUCUGCCACAUCCCUGCUGCUCCUGCUGCACCUGCGCAGUGCAGCUCUGGGCUCUACUGCGGUUUUCUGCUUUCACUGAAGGAACUGUUCUCUCAGCUCGUGAUUUGUUCCCAAGCCUCGUUUUUUUCAUGAUGCAAUUUAACACAGACCAAGGACUUGAAGUACCUAUUGGCUUGGAGCCCACCCUAAAAGCCGUAAAAAGGAGAUAAAAGCCUUUAAAUGCUAAGCCUGUCCGAGGAGACAAUAAAAGGCAAAUGUCUUCCCA